rnacentral:rRNA from 1 species
GAUGAACGCUGGCGGCGUGCCUAAUACAUGCAAGUCGAGCGAACAGACGAGGAGCUUGCUCCUCUGACGUUAGCGGCGGACGGGUGAGUAACACGUGGAUAACCUACCUAUAAGACUGGGAUAACUUCGGGAAACCGGAGCUAAUACCGGAUAAUAUAUUGAACCGCAUGGUUCAAUAGUGAAAGACGGUUUUGCUGUCACUUAUAGAUGGAUCCGCGCCGCAUUAGCUAGUUGGUAAGGUAACGGCUUACCAAGGCAACGAUGCGUAGCCGACCUGAGAGGGGGGUGGCAAAAGUGGGAAAGCAAACGAGAUCGAGACGCGUAGGAGAGGACGCAGCGGGGAGAUGGACGAAAUGGUGGGAAGCAGAAAGGAGUGAAAUGAGGGAAGAGAAGAAGUGAUGUGGCUUGUAAAAAGCUUGUAGGAGGGAAGAAAAAAGGCGUAAGGAAAGAUGGACGCAGUGACGGUCCUUAAACAGAGAGCAAAGGUUAAUUCAGU